UUUAGACAAGCUGUUGAGCCCAGUGGAAGAGCACUUCAUGGCCAAUAGUUUGUCUAAAAU
rnacentral:pre_miRNA from 1 species